AGUGGAAGGAAGCCAUGAUCCAAUUAAGACCAAAAACUAAGCACCUUCUGCUGAGAGGAGUGGACAUUAGAAAAGACCAGCAAGGUAGGUAGGGCAUAGUGUCAGGAGAGUAAAAUAGUAGGCUGGUAGGUAGCAGAACCAGUGGAGGAAUACAGCAGAACCUGUACUAUAUAGAAACCUAGACAGCAAGAUCUGAUGACUGCUGGGCUAGUGGCUGCAAUCCUGGUGGACAAGGGCAGCUUGGUAACCAAGGUAUGAAGGAAUCUAAACCUCUCAAAGGGAUUCCGCAGAGGCAUCGAAGAGUCUCCUGAUAAAGCCUCCUCUAAUCAGAGAUGUGUGAAAAUGGAAUCCAAGUCACAGUCUAUGCAAGUGAUCUCCUGAUGUACUGGAACUGUCAACAGAAAAUUACAUCAAAUGCCAAGGAAACAGCAUGAACUAAGCGUGACAAGGGAAACAAUCCUUCCUUCUACCAAGAGAUGGGAACAGGCCUGUUUGAUCAAGUCACACAGUCAGGUGACGGUACAGUGGAAACUGGCCUCUCUCUUUCCCAUGCUCUUACUACUCUGGCCAGCUCUUUCCACAGAACCAACAACCUCCUGUUCUAAAGUCUUCAAGAGUUUCCAAAAAUACAAGAAUUGCUUAUUUUUGAAGUGCUGCUAUUAGACAAUGGACCAGUGUUGUAGUUUAUCAAAGGCUCUUGCCUACCAAUCCUGCAAGGAAAUAUCUUACCACAAAGGAGCAGAUCUUGAAUGAUGACUAUAGAACAGCCCAACUGGCUGUCACUGGCCUCCUUUCUUUUCUCUGUCUUCAUACACUGAGGAUAUUCCACCAGCUGUGACGUUAACAAGCCUCCGUUUAUCUGAGUUGGCAGGUACGCUGUAUGCAUUUCCAGAAGCAACUCUAAACUUCAAGGCUGUACAAAUCAUGUCUGAUUUUGUAACUUCGCAGAGUUUCCAGCUAAUGCCAGUACUCUUUUUUUCUGAGUCAGUUCCAUUAUUUGGAAAGCAAACAGAAGAAAUAUUUUUUCAGUCCCCCAAAUAACAUUUCAAAUGUGAAUACUUAGAGAAAAAAAAGUCUCAAAGAACACCAGAAGAAACAGACUUUGACAAUUAGCCUCUCAAGCAGAAUAGGAAGGAAAAAAAUGUUUUUCAAAUAGAGGAUUACGAGUUCUUUUAUUUACACAUGGAGGAAAGUAACUAAAUAUUGACACUGUUCUUUACUAUAGUUAGGAUUGCAUACACAAGAGGCUGUUGACUCUAGAUGUACCAGACAAAAGCAAACCUAAAACAUUUCCUUUUCCACCAGUACAAGAAGAAAUGAUGGUAUUAUAAAUAAUAGUCAGUCUUCAUCAUGCUGAACUAGCAAAAAAGAUACCAAGAUUUUUCUGCUGUGAAAAGAUGAUCCCCAAGGUCCUCUUCAUUUGCAGGCUUCACUUCUUUCUCUCACCUAGGGGCAGGGGAGUAGCAGUCCAUCAAAUGAGUUAAUUGCAAUGAAUCAUUGGUAAUAGGACUUUUUACCUUGGGCAAUUCUUUAAUGUCUCACCAUGUUAAUGAAGUUCCUAGACUUAAACCAAAACCCAGAUGGUUUAAUUUGUAACGUCAGGACUAGGAGAGAGAGAUUUUUGUCCUUAUGGCAAGCAAUUUAUCUCAGAAGGCAAGACAGCAUAAAACCUUCCUGAUCUUUUCACAAUGAUUUUUAGAGACUCUAUUGUAUUGAAAUUUAUUGACUAAUGAUGGUAAAACUCUACAGGAAGGAUAGAAUCCCUAAUAGACCCCAUGGUGUUUAAGAAAUGUACAAUAUUGCUUUUGGUAAGCUUUCCCAGAGCAAUGUGUAAAUUCCCUUCCCAAGGGGAAAAGCAGAAUUAUUAAUUCAGAGGUUUCCAUUCCUCACACGGUUUUUCCUUUUGCUCCAUAUCACACUUGACUUCCAUAUUCAUUAUUUUUCUAUUGCUGUGAUGAAUGCUUUGACCAAAGCAACGCAUAGAAGAAAGAGUUUAUGGUUCCAGUGGCUUAGACUUCACAAUGUCGGGGACAGAAGGGGGCAGGCAUAGUGGCUGGGGCUGGAAGCUAAGAACUCACAACUCUAACUGUAAGCAGGAACAGAGAAUGCACUGGAAAUGUCCAGUGGCUUUUGAAGCUUCAGAGCCCACUCCAACAAUACACUUCCACCACCAAGGUCACAUCUUUUAGACCUACACAAGCAGUAUCCCAACUGGGGACCAAAUAUUCAGAUGCCCACGACAUCUCAUUCACACCACAACUUUCAAAUUAGAAUUUGGAUAAGCAGUUAAAUUGGUGCUAAAUAAAGUUUUAGGGUCCAACUUGACAAACAGGCUUUUCUCAAAAUAAGCACUGAAGAUUUUUACUUUGUUUAAUAUACUUUCCACAUGAGUAAAUGCAAAUUCUAGUCAGAGGAAUUGUUAUCACUAUCUCAAAUUUUAGGUUAGAAGUCUAAUUAUAGUAAUAAUUUGGAGGAGAAGAAAUGUUCAUUAUUGUCCUCUAGCUUCCUAAUUUCAACUUCAAAAUAAAAAAAAGUGACCGUUUUGUUAUUUGACAGUGGAUCUACAUUAUUGCUUCUUGUCUAAGAAAAAGUAUUAUUUUAAACUUUUUUAAUUAAACUGGAACCUCUCACCAUAAUGCUUUGAUUAUCUACUUUGAUUAUCUACCAUGGUUUUCUUAUGCUCAACAAAUUAUUCCUUCCAGGAGGGAGGAAAAAAAAAAACCGAAGGUCCAUUUCCAUGCCCUCCUCCCCAGCCUUUCCACUCCCCUAUCUCUCCACAUCCCCUCUCCACCAAUAAGCAAUUGCCACACCCAUUUUACAGACAGGAAAAGGAAGCUCAAGGAAAAGGAAGUUCUGCAUGGUAUCCAAAGACAUUCUGACUCUAAACUUAAAUUGUUAGGAACGGUGAAUUUUGUGUGAGGCCAGUACGUUCUGAAACAUGGUUUCUUAGAUCAGCCACUGCUCAGGGAAAUUAUCCAGUCUGAGGUCAAAGGGUGGGAACACACCUCUGUCUGUGAGUU